GUCAUGUGACCUGGAGGCUAAAAUUAUCCUGCAGAUCUGAGGUCAGAUUUCAGCUAAAGAGACGCAGCAUGGAGGACGGCUGCUGCGCUCACACAAGGAUGCUCAGAGGGAGGAAGUGGCUGCAGGUCAGAGGUCAGAGGUCAUCCUACCUGUACACCUGUGUGCUGUGACAUCACGGCUGACAGGAAGUGGUCAUCAUGGUGGGCGUGGCGGCAUGCGGCUCGGUGAGCUCCAUCAAAGCUCUGUGGGAGACGAGGAUCAAGAGGGUCCAGAAGGAGGAAGAGGAGCACACGAGGAGGAAGACCAGGUGCGGGGCCACUGGCAGACUGAGUGUUGGUGUUUGGGAGGACCGGGUGGUUCUGGCUCGGCUGAAGCAGAAGCUGCAGACAGAAGAUGGACGACUCAUCCUCCGAAUCGAACAGGAGGAGUGGAAGUUGUUGCCGGGCUGUCUGGUCCAGCUCAGUCAGGUCCAGGAGUGGCAGAUUCACCGGACCGGACUGCAGAAGAUCCCUCACUUCAUCUCUAGCUUCCAGAACCUUUUAGUUCUCGAUCUGUCCCGCAAUGGGGUCACCGAAAUCCCCCAACAGAUCGGGAAGCUGACUCAGCUCAGAGAGCUCCUGCUGAGCUACAACAGAAUCCAGUUUGUUCCUGAAGAGCUGAGCUGCUGUGAGAGUCUGGAGAGACUGGAGUUGGCCAUGAACCGGGACCUGAACCAGCUACCAGACCAGUUGAGGAAGUUGAAGAAGCUGCAGCACCUGGAUCUGUCCAUGAACGACUUCACCUGCGUGCCGGACUGUGUGGUUGGACUGCCGGCGCUCGAGUGGCUCGACAUGGGAGGAAACCAACUGCAGCACUUACCUGAAGACAUACACAGGAUGGAGACGCUGCACACUCUGUGGCUGCAGAGAAACCAACUGGAGAAACUUCCAGACAGCAUCAGCAGGAUGAAGAGUCUGGACACGCUGGUCCUAAGCUGCAACAGACUCAGAGACAUCCCCCCACUGAUGGAGGACAUGUCCAACCUCAGGUUUGUGAAUUUCCGGGACAACCCUCUGACCCUGGAUGUGACGCUGCCCUGCAGUGAGAUGAAGACUGAGGACGAUGAAGAGGACAGAGAGAUGUUUGGACGAGAGUUCAUGCAGUUUUACAUCCAAGAAGCCAGAAAGAGAGCGUACGCUGUGCUCAACAUGCACUGUGUCAACCGUGUUGGCAACGCUGCGGGACGAGUAGCGAGGCAAAGUUUGGCGGAAGAUGAAGAAUAAAAUGAAGCCCGUUGAAUAAUAGACCAGUGUUAGACCGGCUUUGCUUUGUGCUUCUAGGCACACUGGAAUAAUUCCUGCAGAGCCGAACGACGACUCAUCAAACUAAAGUAAUCUGUCGCUCUGCAUUUCUUCUUCUGGGCUUUUUCUUUUCAGAACUCAGCUACACGUUUUAAAACCAGUGAAGAAAAAGAUUCACAUCAAAGACUCGUUCAUAUAUUUAUGUAUUUAUAUAUAUAUUCACAUUUAUAUUUCUGUUUCUGGGGGCUGGAAUCUGCUGACAGUUUAUAAAACUUGACUAACAGAAUGUUUCAGUAGUGUUUUUGUUUUCCUGUUUGUGUCGUGUGAUUUUAGACUGUAAAUCAUUUAUUCAUUUCUGCAGACUGAAACACAAACAGUGUUCUUUAUGAAGCUAUGAAAUGAAGCUAUGAAAUGAAGCUAUGAAAUGAAGCUAUGAAAUGAAGGUUUAAAUCAGAAACAGAAACAAGUGAAAACGCUUUAAUAGAAACUUUACUUAACAUUUCAACACAUUUUAACUCCAAAUAAAAAUACUUUUGUAGAAACUCA